AUGGCCACAUGUUUACCGCUUACGGCACUGGAAGGCUCGGUAUUCUGUUUCAUUGUCGAGAGUACCCCGAGUAUGACAAGAACAGCUUUGCCUUGAACCUCGGCUAUUGCCAAACGGGAUCAUUCGUUCCUUAC